CUGCAUUGGCUUCCAGUUAGAUAUAGGGCCCAAUUCAAAAUUCAAAUCCCUACAUAAUGCUGCUCCAACAUACCUAUCCUCCCUCAUACACAAGUAUGUCCCGUCGAGACCCCUGUGCUCAGCCCAAGACCUACGCCUAUCCUCUGCCCGGAUCCCCACCUCUGAUGCUCGCCUUCAAGACUUCUCCAGGGCUGCACCUAUUCUGUGGAACUCCCUUCCCUCCUCAAUCAGACUUUCACCCAGCCUCCACUCCUUCAAAAAAUCUUUGAAAACUCACUUCUUCAUUAAAGCGUAUCAAUUAAACUGUCAGCAGGUUUCUCAU